rfam:Mucilaginibacter polytrichastri strain RG4-7 Scaffold1, whole genome shotgun sequence.
UCAGGUGCCUAUAGCGGUGGUGUCUGCCUCUUCCCAUUCCGAACAGAGCAGGCAAGCCCGCCAGAGCCGAUGGGACUGCAGUAAAAUGUGGAAGAGGAGGUCGGCGCCAAAU